rnacentral:tRNA from 1 species
GGUUAGCUCAGUCGGUCAGAGCGUGGUGCUGAUAACACUGAGGCCGCGGGUUCAAUCCCCGCUAGCCU